GUUUUUAGUGCUUUAAGAAUGUGGUAGAUAUUUGUUCUGUGAGUGAAUGAAUGAAUAAGUUUUAAGAACUGACUAGUUCUUACUGGUCAAAUGAAUGACUUGUAUAUGCCAGAAAUGGCUGAAUCACCAGUUGUUAUAUAUGCUUUGUUGUUGUUUCGUCAUGUAACUAAAAUGUCCAAAGGUAGAAUUGGGUUGGCUUCAGGUUCAGGCUUGAUGUUGAGACUCACAUAGUGACUGUAAGCCCCCAGAUUGGCUGUAACCUCAGCCCCUGUCACAAACGGACUUCCCUGGUGGCUCAGAUGGUAAAGCAUCUGCCUACAACGCAGGAGACCUGGGUUCGAUCCCUAGGUAGAGGAGAUCCCCUGGAGAAGGAAAUAGCAACCCACUCCAGCACUGUUGCCUUGGAAAUCCCAUGGAUGGAGGAACCUGGUAGGCUACAGUCCAUGAGGUCACAAAGAGUCGGACACGACUGAGUGACUUUACGUUCUUUCACUUUUCACAAAUGAUUCUCCCCUCAUGAUCACAAGAGGCUGCAAUGAUUCCAUCCUUCACAUCCUCUCCUACUUGGGGUAAGAGGAGAAAGGACACUCUUCAGCCCCGGCACUUCUAGCAAAGCCAUCACUGAGUCUGUGGUUCUGAUUGGGUCACAUGAUUUGUUCCUGACCUCAAGAAGAAGCCCUUCUCUAGCCCAUGGGAUAGAGAUUAGAGGAGGCAGAUUCUCAAAGGGAAAUCUGGGCUGUUGUUAGAAAAAGAAGUCAUGGAGCAAACUACAAAUGUCUUAACACUGGAAGACUUGUGUUUUCCCCUUCUGCUCUGCCCUGUGAGUCUGCUGUUCUAGCCUCCAGGCUUUGGGGGCCUGAUAAAGAAGUGUCUUCUCAGCUCCAAGUUAGUUCCCCAGCAUCUCACAAGUUAUACCAUAAGUUGCCUGCUCUUCUAACAGACCCUGAUGUUCUCAGGGAACCAGUGUGGCCAGCCCCAGGUACGAGUCCUCCCUGGCCCAAAGGCAAUCAGAAUGGUCACAGAUAUUGCUUUACCAGCUUCUCUGGCAGAUAGAGUGGCCAUAGUGACCGCAUUCUGGCCAAUGAGACAUAAAAGGAAGUGUGUGGAGGUAGGGCCAGUGUUCUGACAAAUGUCCUCAUUCCUGAUUAGAGCAGAUAGAUAAGAAGGAUGCUCUUACAUCAUCUUUUCUUUGGCCCUUGCCAAUAGUGCAGUGAGAAGCAUGACUGUAGCCACCAGCUUGUGACCGUGAGGCCGCAGUCAAAGAUGCAGGCCAGCUGCGCACUGCAGGACAACGGCGGGGGAGGAAGAGAAAGAGCCUGGCAUCAUUCACCUGGCCCAAGCCUGGAGCUGCCGUAUCUGGCCUCCUUCUUCCAUGAGAUGAUGAAUCAUUGCCCAAGACACCAUUGGGCGAUACCAUUACUUGCAGCCAAAUGCCUCCCAUUGUUGCUUGCUUCUCCUUGUGCCACUGCCUGGACCCCAUUUG
ensembl:lncRNA